UACGGAGGAUGCAAGCGUUAUCCGGAAUGAUUGGGCGUAAAGCGUCCGCAGGUGGCUAUGUAAGUCUGCUGUUAAAGAGUGAGGCUCAACCUCAUAAGAGCAGUGGAAACUACAUGGCUAGAGUGCGUUCGGGGCAGAGGGAAUUCCUGGUGUAGCGGUGAAAUGCGUAGAGAUCAGGAAGAACACCGGUGGCGAAAGCGUCUC
rnacentral:rRNA from 1 species